rnacentral:rRNA from 1 species
AUGCAAGUCGAACGAUGAACCACUUCGGUGGGGAUUAGUGGCGAACGGGUGAGUAACACGUGGGCAAUCUGCCCUGCACUCUGGGACAAGCCCUGGAAACGGGGUCUAAUACCGGAUACUGACCCUCGCAGGCAUCUGCGAGGUUCGAAAGCUCCGGCGGUGCAGGAUGAGCCCGCGGCCUAUCAGCUUGUUGGUGAGGUAAUGGCUCACCAAGGCGACGACGGGUAGCCGGCCUGAGAGGGCGACCGGCCACACUGGGACUGAGACACGGCCCAGACUCCUACGGGAGGCAGCAGUGGGGAAUAUUGCACAAUGGGCGAAAGCCUGAUGCAGCGACGCCGCGUGAGGGAUGACGGCCUUCGGGUUGUAAACCUCUUUCAGCAGGGAAGAAGCGAAAGUGACGGUACCUGCAGAAGAAGCGCCGGCUAACUACGUGCCAGCAGC